rnacentral:lncRNA from 1 species
UGCAUGUUAGAUUCUCCAAAAGUAGUGUAUAUUUGAAGAACGUGAAACGGGUGCGGCAUCGAAGGGUGGAUAAACAACUUCAAUUUUAAUAUGCCUUUUGCUUCAGCAAUCCUUGCCAAUCUAACAUGACUAUUUUCUUUGCUUUCAGCUAAUUGAGAUAGGCAACAUUCAUUUGCUUAGAGUAUCAACUUAGUCAAAUAGAUAAUGUAUAUGAAAUAGCUAUCAUUAUAGGUCUUUUUUCAAGAGUUCGACACAUUACGAGGAAAAAUUCAUUCUCCUCUUUCCCUCUGUUAACUGUUGUAUGAUUAUAGUUUGUUAAGGGGGGAAAUAUUGCUCAGUCAAGUGCAAAUUUACUUAUUGACAGCUCACAUGAAUCUCUUACAUUAUCUUGACAGCUCACAUGAAUCUAUUCUCUGUUUUUCUUUGUAUCAUGUAGUAUGUGGGGNN